rnacentral:rRNA from 1 species
UACGUAGGGUGCAAGCGUUUAAUCGGAAUUACUGGGCGUAAAGCGUGCGCAGGCGGUUCGCUAAGACAGAUGUGAAAUCCCCGGGCUUAACCUGGGAACUGCAUUUGUGACUGGCGGGCUAGAGUAUGGCAGAGGGGGGGUAGAAUUCCACGUGUAGCAGUGAAAUGCGUAGAGAUGUGGAGGAAUACCGAUGGCGAAGGCAGCCCCCUGGGCCAAUACUGACGCUCAUGCACGAAAGCGUGGGGGAGCAAACAGG